rnacentral:rRNA from 1 species
CCUACGGGUGGCAGCAGUGAGGAAUAUUGGUCAAUGGCCGGAAGGCUGAACCAGCCAUGCCGCGUGAAGGUCAGUGCCCUAUGGGCGUUAAACUUCUUUUGUGCGGGAGCAAUAAUGGUCACGUGUGGCCAGACGAGAGUACCGUACGAAUAAGCAUCGGCUAACUCCGUGCCAGCAGCCGCGGUAAGACGGGGGAUGUAAGCGUUAUCCGGAUUUAUUGGGGUUAAAGGGUGCGUAGGCUGUGAGGUAAGUCAGCGGUGAAAUGCCGCCGCUCAAAGGGGUGAAGUGCCAUUGAUACUGGCUUGCUGGAAUGCGGAUGAAGUGGGAGGAAUGUGUGGUGUAGCGGUGAAAUGCAUAGAUAUCACGCAGAACACCGAUUGCGAAGGCAUCUCACGAAUCCGCGAUUGACGCUGAUGCACGAAAGCGUGGGUAUCAAACAGGAUUAGAUACCCUUGUAGUC